UUUAGUGGCGGACGGGUGAGUAACACGUGAGCAACCUGCCUUCGAGAGGGGAAUAACGGCUGGAAACGGUCGCUAAUACCGCAUAACAUACCGGGAGGACAUCCUGCUGGUAUCAAAGAUUUAUCGCUCGAAGAUGGGCUCGCGUCCGAUUAGGUAGUUGGUGAGGUAACGGCUCACCAAGCCGACGAUCGGUAGCCGGACUGAGAGGUUGAACGGCCACAUUGGGACUGAGACACGGCCCAGACUCCUACGGAAGGCAGCAG
rnacentral:rRNA from 1 species